rnacentral:rRNA from 1 species
GACGAACGCUGGCGGCGUGCCUAAUACAUGCAAGUAGAACGCACAGUUUAUACCGUAGCUUGCUACACCAUAGACUGUGAGUUGCGAACGGGUGAGUAACGCGUAGGUAACCUGCCUGGUAGCGGGGGAUAACUAUUGGAAACGAUAGCUAAUACCGCAUAAUAUUGAUUAUUGCAUGAUAAUUGAUUGAAAGAUGCUAUUGCAUCACUACCAGAUGGACCUGCGUUGUAUUAGCUAGUAGGUGAGGUAACGGCUCACCUAGGCGACGAUACAUAGCCGACCUGAGAGGGUGAUCGGCCACACUGGGACGGGGACACGGCCCAGACUCCUACGGGAGGCAGCAGUAGGGAAUCUUCGGCAAGGGACGAAAGUCUGACCGAGCAACGCCGCGUGAGUGAAGAAGGGUUUCGGGUCGUAAAGCUCUGUUGUAAGGGAAGAACGGGUGUGAGAGUGGAAAGUUCACACUGUGACGGUAUCUUACCAGAAAGGGACGGCUAACUACGUG